GGUGCCCUCGCCAGUCGACAGUCUGUCUGUGGUCUAGUGACACAUUGUCUGGGGACUUGUGGUUUCUGGUUGAGUUGAGGAGGGCGUUCCCAGUUGACGCUUGUGUCGCCUGAAGAGAAACACAACUCACCACAACAAGAAAAGAAAAGAAACUAAAUAAGAAAAAAGG